UGGGGGAUAUUGCACAAUGGGCGAAAGCCUGAUGCAGCGACGCCGCGUGGGGGAUGAAGGCUUUCGGGUUGUAAACCUCUUUCGCUAUCGAACAAGGCCCGCUUAGGGUGGGUUGAGGGUAGGUGGAGAAGAAGCGCCGGCUAACUACGUGCCAGCAGCCGCGGUAAUACGUAGGGCGCGAGCGUUGUCCGGAAUUAUUGGGCGUAAAGGGCUUGUAGGCGGCUUGUUGCGCCUGCUGUGAAAACGCGGGGCUUAACUUCGCGCGUGCAGUGGGUAAGGGCAGGCUUGAGUGGGGUAGGGGUGACUGGAAUUCCAGGUGUAGCGGUGGAAUGCGCAGAUAUCUGGAGGAACACCGAUGGCGAAGGCAGGUCACUGGGCCAUUACUGACGCUGAGGAGCGAAAGCAUGGGUAGCGAACAGG
rnacentral:rRNA from 1 species